UUUGAUUAGGUCCUUGUCUAUGUUCCUUGGAACAGGACGUCAUAGAGGGUGAGAAUCCCGUUUGGCGAGGAUACCUUUUCUUUGUAAGACUUUUUCGAAGAGUCGAGUUGUUUGGGAAUGCAGCUCAAAGUGGGUGGUAAAUUCCAUCUAAAGCUAAAUAUUGGCGAGAGACCGAUAGCGAACAAGUACAGUGAUGGAAAGAUGAAAAGAACUUUGAAAAGAGAGUGAAAAAGUACGUGAAAUUGUUGAAAGGGAAGGGCAUUUGAUCAGACAUGGUGUUUUUUGCAUGCACUCGCCUCUCGUGGGCUUGGGCCUCUCAAAAAUUUCACUGGGCCAACAUCAAUUCUGGCAGCAGGAUAAAUCAUUAAGAAUGUAGCUACUUCGGUAGUGUUAUAGCUUUUUGGAAUACUGUUAGCCGGGAUUGAGGACUGCGCUUCGGCAAGGAUGUUGGCAUAAUGGUUAAAUGCCGCC
rnacentral:rRNA from 1 species